rnacentral:rRNA from 1 species
AUUGAACGCUGGCGGCAUGCUUUACACAUGCAAGUCGAACGGCAGCACGGGGGCAGCCCUGGUGGCGCGUGGCGAACGGGUGAGUAAUACAUCGGAACGUGCCCGGUCGUGGGGGAUAACGUAGCGAAAGUUACGCUAAUACCGCAUACGAUCUGCGGAUGAAAGCGGGGGACCUUCGGGCCUCGCGCGAUCGGAGCGGCCGAUGUCAGAUUAGGUAGUUGGUGGGGUAAAGGCCUACCAAGCCGACGAUCUGUAGCUGGUCUGAGAGGACGACCAGCCACACUAGGACUGAGACACGGCCCAGACGCCUACGGGAGGCAGCAGUGGGGAAUUUUGGACAAUGGGCGCAAGCCUGAUCCAGCCAGUCCGCGUGCAGGACGAAGGCCUUCGGGUUGUAAACUGCUUUUGUACGGAACGAAAAGGCUCUGGCUAAUACCUGGGGCUCAUGACGGUACCGUAAGAAUAAGCACCGGCUAACUACGUG